rnacentral:rRNA from 1 species
AAGGUGGCUUUUGGGCUGUCGCAGAUGGAUGAGCCUGCGUUGGAUUAGCUAGUUGGAGGGGUAAGGGCCUACCAAGGCUACGAUCCAUAGCUGAUUUGAGAGGAUGAUCAGCCACAUUGGGACUGAGACACGGCCCAAACUCCUACGGGAGGCAGCAGUGAGGAAUAUUGGACAAUGGGGGCAACCCUGAUCCAGCAAUGCCAUGUGUGUGAAGAAGGCCUUAGGGUUGUAAAGCACUUUAGUUGGGGAAGAAAGCUUUGAGGUUAAUAGCCUUGAGGAAGGACGUUACCCAAAGAAUAAGCACCGGCUAACUCCGUGCCAGCAGCCGCGGUAAUACGGGGGGUGCAAGCGUUAAUCGGAAUUACUGGGCGUAAAGGGUCUGUAGGUGGUUUGUUAAGUCAGAUGUGAAAGCCCAGGGCUCAACCUUGGAACUGCAUUUGAUACUGGCAAACUAGAGUACGGUAGAGGAAUGGGGAAUUUCUGGUGUAGCGGUGAAAUGCGUAGAGAUCAGAAGGAACACCAAUGGCGAAGGCAACAUUCUGGACCGAUACUGACACUGAGGGACGAAAGCGUGGGGAUCAAACAGGAUUAGAUACCCUGGUAGUCCACGCUGUAAACGAUGAGUACUAGCUGUUGGAGUCGGUGUAAAGGCUCUAGUGGCGCAGCUAACGCGAUAAGUACUCCGCCUGGGGACUACGGCCGCAAGGCUAAAACUCAAAGGAAUUGACGGGGACCCGCACAAGCGGUGGAGCAUGUGGUUUAAUUCGAUGCAACGCGAAGAACCUUACCUGGUCUUGACAUCCUGCGAGCUUUCUAGAGAUAGAUUGGUGCCUUCGGGAACGCAGUGACAGGUGCUGCACGGCUGUCGUCAGCUCGUGUUGUGAAAUGUUGGGUUAAGUCCCGCAACGAGCGCAACCCCUAUUGAUAGUUACCAUCAUUAAGUUGGGUACUCUAUUGAGACUGCCGCUGACAAGGCGGAGGAAGGUGGGGACGACGUCAAGUCAUCAUGGCCCUUACGACCAGGGCUACACACGUGCUACAAUGGGUAUUACAGAGGGCUGCGA